UGGCAUGCAGUGGCCUAUAGAUGGAUUAGUAUUGUUCAUGCUGCACAAUCCUUCUAACCCCACAAGUCUUGCUUGAGUCACACAAUAAUCACGGCACUCGAUCACCUCACCCAACAAGCCGCUGCCUCCGAUCCACACCAUCCCAGCACUGCCUCCCCACUCGGACGUACGACACCACCUCACCAUCCUUGCCCCACCGUCGCUUCCCCACUCAGGCGCCUCCUCCCACUCGGACGCCGCCUCCCCACCAUCUCACUCAGCGAGGGAAAGCCGUAGAGCGCAGGUGGAUGACGACGACGCGUGGGGCAGGCGAGCAAGCGGCCGGCGUGGAUGGGCAAUACCACAGCGGUGAGCAGCGGCGUAGGCGAGCGAUGGGCGGCGCAGGUGGGAAUCGCCAACGCGACACAGGUGCAGCGACACAUAGGGUCACACAGGCAGGCAGGCAGCCGACAGUCGGUGAGAAAGGUGCUUGAUGUUUUGCUUGGCUUGGAGGGACGGAAGUAGGAGCACUUCUUGCACAUCAUGAUUCACCUAAUUAUCAAGUAGUGAUACUGUAAUAAUAAUAUAUUAGAUAGAGUUGCAUUUGUAUCUUAGCAUGCUAAACUUGAGUUUUGGGUUUGCCAUGUUAUAAGUUAAGCUCGAAGUGUUAAUAUGUUGGUUAAUUGCUAUGAUGCUUCUAUGAUAAUGUGCUACUUUAUUUUACGUAUCCUUUAUGAUAUCUGUUGUUGCUUCCGCUUUAUCA